rnacentral:tRNA from 1 species
GCUUUAGUAGCUUAUA